UACAGAGGUCUCAAGCGUUGUUCGGAAUCACUGGGCGUAAAGGGCGCGUAGGCGGCCCCUCCUAGUCGCGUGUGAAAGCCCCGGGCUCAACCUGGGAACGGCGCGCGAAACGGGGGGGGCUGGAGUUCGGGAGAGGAGCGUGGAAUUCCCAGUGUAGAGGUGAAAUUCGUAGAUAUUGGGAAGAACACCGGUGGCGAAGGCGGCGCUCUGGACCGAGACUGACGCUGAGGCGCGAAAGCGUGGGGAGCAAAACAGG
rnacentral:rRNA from 1 species